rnacentral:hammerhead_ribozyme from 1 species
AUCCAGUUGACGAGUCCUAAAUAGGACGAAAUGAGCAUCUUGGAU